UACGUAAGGGGCAAGCGUUUUCCGGAUUUACUGGGUGUAAAGGGAGCGUAGACGGCAUAGCAAGUCUGAAGUGAAAGCCCGUGGCUCAACCGCGGAACUGCUUUGGAAACUGUUAAGCUGGAGUACUGGAGAGGCAAGCGGAAUUCCUAGUGUAGCGGUGAAAUGCGUAGAUAUUAGGAGGAACACCAGUGGCGAAGGCGGCUUGCUGGACAGAGACUGACGUUGAGGCUCGAAAGCGUGGGGAGCAAACAGG
rnacentral:rRNA from 1 species